rnacentral:misc_RNA from 1 species
GUGAAAUGACCCCAUCCACUAGUGAAUAUGGAUCCAGCAUGAAGGGAAGGCAGCAGACGGGAACGGUGCUAUCCUAUGGUAGUUCUCAGAAUUCCAAUGUCCUCGAGGAAUUCUCAGAUAGCUUUGUGCACUGGGUAAACAAUGGAGAGACACUCUGCCAUUGAAGUUUAGCUCGCUUUGGCCCUGAAUCAAUAUUUAUUCCUUUCCCCAAGUGAUCCGACCUGCUCUAAAGAUGCUGAAUAUAUUGAUAUAGAGAGAGGUGACAAGGACGGAGAUGGCCGGACCAAAGGGAGAAAAGAGAGGCAGGUGUUUUGGCUGUCCCUAACAAUGCAUCCAAGAAGAAAUUCUCCCAUCCCCGUGACUUACAUCGUUGAUUCCAUCGUGGAAACCUCGAUGGAACCUGAUACCAAAAGUACAGAGAGUAAAUAGCUAACAGUUAAAAAAAAAAAAAAAAAAAAAAAA